rnacentral:rRNA from 1 species
AUUGAACGCUGGCGGCAUGCCUUACACAUGCAAGUCGAACGGUAACGGGCCUUCGGGCGCCGACGAGUGGCGAACGGGUGAGUAAUGCAUCGGAACGUACCUUUCAGUGGGGGAUAACGUAGCGAAAGUUACGCUAAUACCGCAUAUUCUGUGAGCAGGAAAGCAGGGGAUCGCAAGACCUUGCGCUGAUUGAGCGGCCGAUGUCAGAUUAGCUAGUUGGUGAGGUAAAGGCUCACCAAGGCGACGAUCUGUAGCGGGUCUGAGAGGAUGAUCCGCCACACUGGAACUGAGACACGGUCCAGACUCCUACGGGAGGCAGCAGUGGGGAAUUUUGGACAAUGGGGGGCAACCCUGAUCCAGCCAUGCCGCGUGAGUGAAGAAGGCCUUCGGGUUGUAAAGCUCUUUCGGCCGGGAAGAAAUCGUAUGGGCUAAUACCCUGUGCGGAUGACGGUACCGGCAUAAGAAGCACCGGCUAACUACGUG